CGGACGGGUGAGUAACACGUGGAUAACCUACCUAUAAGACUGGGAUAACUUCGGGAAACCGGAGCUAAUACCGGAUAACAUAUUGAACCGCAUGGUUCAAUAGUGAAAGGCGGCUUUGCUGUCACUUAUAGAUGGAUCCGCGCCGUAUUAGCUAGUUGGUAAGGUAACGGCUUACCAAGGCAACGAUACGUAGCCGACCUGAGAGGGUGAUCGGCCACACUGGAACUGAGACACGAUCCAG
rnacentral:rRNA from 1 species